AUGCAGCAGCAAUCGAGAAACCCCACACUCCCAGAAGAACCCCUGGUGCUGGGAGACGGGCAGCAGCUUAGAACAAAUGAGACGUUAAUACAGAGAAAGGACAUCAUGGCACGAAUUGCAGAGUUGACCCUGCAGAAUUCAGCUAUCAGGGCACAUCUGAAUAAUAUUAUUGGUCCAGGGGGAGAACAAGGGGACGGACUUCGGGAGUUUAACAGACAGGAGACAAGUCAUGGCAGCGACACGAUGGCUACUUUUCCAGCAGUGCAACCUCUGACACCAAGUAGCAUGGAGGAACGGAUUGCAGAAUUGAAUCGACAGAGUAUGGAGGCUCGUGGAAAACUCUUGCAGUUAAUAGAGCAGCAGAAGCUGAUUGGCUUGAAUCCUUCCUCUCCACCAGUAUCACCUGUGCAGUCACCUGUCAGAGCAUGGGCUGAGAAAAUGAAGGAACCAGAUGAUCAGGAUGCUGAUGGGGAGAAAUCAGAUAGAUCCAAGAGUGACAGAAGGCAGUCUCAUUCCUCUAGAUCUCCAUCAGGAACUGCUGUGAGAGAGGAUCACAAGUCUAUUGACAAUACCAUAGGCGAAGGAUUUACUGAAGGGGAAGAAUCAUAUAUAGAGGAUGAUGAAUCAUAUGUGGAAGGAAGUUCAAGUUCACUUCAAGAUGACUAUGCAGAAAGCCUUGAAGAAUCUCGGUAUAUGGAAACUCCUGCCCCAGAUGCAGAAGAGGCAGAGGAAGAAGUUAAGAGGAAAAUAUCAGAAAGCUUCUUCUACGAUUACAUGGAGCUUGUCUCAAUGCCUUUUGUGACUCCAGAUUCAAACAUACCGCUGGAUCUUCUUACACUUGUACAUUCCUUUGGUUAUGACUCCAGAAAGCGGGCCAACCUGAAACUUCUGGAAAGCAGUAUCGUGAUGUACAUAGCUGGAAACCAGUUGAUUUUUCUGAAUCUGAAAACCAAAGAACAGAGCUACUUGCGAAGUAGCAGUGGAGUCGGAAUUGGUGUCACUGGGGUUCACCCUGAUAAAACUUAUUUCACGGUAGCAGAAAAAGGAGUUUUCCCAAAGAUAAUCAUUUAUGAAUAUCCUUCAAUGAGGCCCUAUAGAAUCCUUCAAGAUGGAACUGAUCUGGCCUAUGCGUACGUGGACUUUAACUUCGAUGGUACCCUGCUGGCUUCUGUCGGUGGCAGCCCUGAUCACACCCUGACCAUCUGGAACUGGAAAGAAGAGAAGCCUAUACUGAGGACAAAAGCUUUCUCCCAGGAAGUUUUUAAGGUUACUUUCAAUCCUGAAGACGAUGAGCAGCUCACUACCUCGGGAUCAGGCCACAUCAAGUUCUGGCAAAUGGCUCUAACAUUCACUGGCCUCAAACUUCAGGGUUCACUGGGGCGAUUUGGCAAAACAGCCACUACUGAUAUAGAAGGUUACAUGGAGCUCCCAGAUGGGAAGGUGCUUUCAGGGUCAGAAUGGGGCAACAUGCUGCUUUGGGAAGGAGGUCACAUCAAAGUGGAGCUGAGUCGAGCUGCAGGCAAGCCUUGUCACCAGGGUCCCAUUAACCAGAUAAUGCUGGACGAGGGCGAAGUCAUCACCAUUGGGUCAGAUGGAUGUGUUAGGAUAUGGGAUUUUGAGACUAUAGACACUGCUGAUGUUAUAGAUGAGACUGGAUUACUAGAGAUUGAACCCAUUAAUGAACUUCAAGUAGAUAAGAAUGUCAAACUCUUCUCUAUGAUAAAAAUGAAUGAAGUUGGAAAUAACUUUUGGUUGGCUCAGGAUUCCAAUGGAGCCAUAUGGAAGCUUGACCUUAGCUUUUCAAACAUUACCCAAGACCCAGAAUGCCUGUUCUCCUUCCAUUCUGGAGCCAUUGAAGCUUUGGCCGUCUCUCCUGUCACUUACCUCAUGGCCACUACCGGCUUGGACUGCUCUAUUAGAUGCUAUGACUUUGCUGGCAAAACUCCUUUGCUUCAGAUGAAAUUCAAGCAAGGAGGUACUGCCCUUGCUUGGGUACCACGGCUGAUAAGCUAUGGUGGAGCACAGAUUACUGCAGGAUUUGAAGACGGCGUUGUUCGAAUUCUUGAACUUUAUGAUCCAAAAGGGCUCACGGUUUUUGUGGGACGGAAGAAAGUUUCGGAUGCAGAUAUUCGUUUGAAACAGGUUUUCAAACCUCAUACUGCUGCUGUCACUGCUUUAGCUUAUGAUUGUGAUGGAGAAGUUCUAGCCACAGGGAGUAAAGAUAAAACUGUCUUCUUUUUCGAAGUGGAAAGGGGCUAUAAGCCUAUUGGUUAUAUUACUACUCCUGGACCUGUUUGCCAGUUAACAUGGUCUUCAAGCUCUCAUCCUGAAAGUACUUUGCUGAUUAUUUGUGAGGAUGGCUAUGUUCUUGAAGCUCCGUUUCCAGCUAUAAAGGAGGACAAGGAGGACCGUGAUGUAGUUUCCUAUGAAAUCAAAGACAUGUGUUUAAAAUAUUUCCAUUUCACAAGUGUCAAAUCUAAGAUUCUGAGAUUAAUAGAAAUUGAAAGGAGAAAGAAACAAAAGGAGCUGAAGGAGAAAGAAAAGCAAGAAAGAAGGAAAAGGCUAGAAACAGCGAUGGGCGAAGAUGCGGAAGAGGAACUCCAGGAAGAAGAGGAGGAGGAGGAAGAGGAGGAAGAGGAGCCCUUACCCGAAAUCUUUGUUCCUUCAACCCCCUGUCACAUCCUCUGUGGAUUUUACUCUGAGCCAGGAAAGUUCUGGCUUUCUUUGGGUGGCUAUGAUUCUGGUUUUCUGUACCACUGUGAAUUCCCCCCAGAUGACAAAAGCAGUGAUAACACAGUAAGGAAAGAUGAACCUUUUGAUUUCCGUCUUCUUGAGGAUACAGAGGAUAAUCCCAUCACAACUAUCACUUUCAGUAUUAACCGAGAAAUGAUGUUUUGUGGAAUGCAAAAUGGAGCGAUUCGAGUUUAUAUCCUAAGUAAGAAUGAUUCUUCAUUGACCAGCAUGGAGGACUACUGGCAGUACAAUGUGCAUGACAAUAAUUAUGGACGUGUUAAUGCCAUCUCUACUAGCUUUGAUGACCGGUUCUUGGUGACUGCUGGAGCAGAUAGUAAUAUCUUUGUUUUCAACAUUUUUUCUGAGUUUGAGUUAAAGAAAGUUGUGAAAGCCAAAGUGCCAUCUCCCAGAUUUGGAAUAGAAACAGAGCCAAUUCCAGAAGAUAUUGAAGAUCCUAAAGCCUACAGUAUUGAGAAUGCCAGAAGAAAAAGAGAACAUGACAAGUUAAUGAAAAAAGUAGAAGAAAUCAAGGCUGGAAAGAGAGAACAGAUCAAAGCUUUAAGGAAUCAAUUACAGAAACUACUACAGAUGAAUGAAGAAUUACCCAAACAUAUGCAGUUUAAACGGACAGAUUUUGAUCUGGAUUCCAAAAUUCGUGCUGAGAUUGGCAAGAAAACAGCUAAUAAAAUUCAACGAGUGGAAAAGGAAUUGGCUUGGGAAAAGGAGAAACACCAGGUUAGCCUAAAGAAGCUACAGAAUAGAUUUCGUCAUUCAUUGGAAAACGAUAUUAUUGUAGUUCAUGCCAUUCAGAGUGAUCACAAGAUAUCCUCCUAUAGGCUUGUGAAACCCUCUAAAUACUCCAAAACCAAACGGGCAAGUCAAUCAGAGAGAAGACCAAGCAAAUUUGAGAGGUUUGAAAAAGAAGGAACUGGAAGAAAGGAUAGCCAGAGAGAUACAGGUGGAAGUAUUAGUGUGCCAGAAGAAUCAGUCAUAGAGAAAGGGAAGAAAUUUCGACCUAAAACCCUAAGUGAAAUUAUGGUGGAAAAUCAAAUUGAGAAAACAAGGAAACUUAUAUUAAAAGCUGAAAGGGCCCAAAUAAAGAUUCAGCAAAGAAAAAAAGAAUGGGAGGAACUGUACAAGAGUAAACCUGAUGACGGCUAUGAAGAUCCCAAAGAUGUUCAGGCCAUCAAAGAGGCCCAGCUAUUUAUGGGAGACUUCAAUUUGAAGACAGCCUCAGACUAUAAGAUACCUGAGCACAUGAGAAUAAAUGCUGCCAAGAAGGAGGAGGAACUGGGGUACCUAGACUCUAUGGCCUACUCAAAGAAAAUGCACAUGAACAAGAGCAUCAUCUCUCUUCGAGACCUUAAGGUGGCUGUCAUCGAGGAAAUACAGUGUCUGGUACAAGAACUGAAGAACAUUCAGUCGACUCUUCCCAUAUUCAAGCACCUGCCCAUUCCCCAGGUCCCUCAGAUAUAUCCAGAAGAAGUUCCAGAAAAGAGAUUUCAGUAUGAUGAUGAAACCCUCCUAGCUUUUAAGCAGCAACAGCAGGUGAAAAGUCAGGAUGGAAAGGCCCACCAGGUGGGACAGACAGCAUUUGCAGGCUCAGCUGGAGGCUUCCUCAGACUCUCUUCUGGAAAGGAGGGGGAUUUAACGACACGUGACUCGUUGUCUAGAGCAUCAAAAGCAUCAGCAUUCAGCCUGGACCUUCCAAAGUUCAUAGAAUUUGAAAAAGCAGAUCCAACUGACGUGGAGCUGGAGAUUAUGAAGAGGGAGGAGAUCAAACACGUGUACAUGCAACAGUAUUUGAUCAACCGGAUCAAAGAACUGAUUGUCACCUUUGAUGCAGAACUCCGUCUCCUGAGACAUCAGAAACUGAAGUUAGAUACUCAGAUGAAAUUAUCUGACCUGCACCAUGUCACAUUAUUUCAAGAAAUGCUUCUCCUGAAGAACUUUGAAAAACAGGAGAACAUACUUCAGGAGCGUGUUAAUUCAUUAGACAAAGAGGAACAGGACAUGCAAUGGAAAAUAAAUGAAACUCUUAAAGAAAUGGAAGAGAAAAAGAAUGAAGUAGCCAAGCUCCAGGACCAAGAAAAAGCACUCUAUGCUGGUUUCCAAACAGCACUUGGAGAAAACAAUAAAUUUGCUAAUUUUCUUAUGAAGGUACUAAAGAAGAGGAUUAAGCGGGUGAAGAAAAAAGAGGUCGAAGGAGAUGUCGAUGAAGAGGAGGAAAGUGAAGAAUCAAGUGAAGAAGAAUCCAGCUUGGAGAGUGAUGAGGAUGAGUCUGGAUCUGAAGAUGAGGUUUUUGAUGAUUCUAUCUGCCCAACAAAUUGUGAUAUAGGUCUCUUUGAACUGGCCCUUCAACUUCGAGAGAAAAGGCUGGACAUUGAAGAGGCUUUAGUUGAAGAAAAAAAAAUGAUCGAUAACCUCAAAAAGGAACAUGAUACAUUGUCCAAAAAAGUAAAAAUUGUGGCAACUAAUCUGAACGCAGCAGAGGAGGCGCUGGAGGCUUAUCAGCGUGAGAAGCAGCAGCGGCUGAAUGAACUGCUGGUUGUGAUCCCGCUGAAGCUCCACCAGAUAGAGUAUGUGCUGUAUGGAGAAAUACCAAGUGAUCUUUCUGGAUCUUUGGUCUUUUCCAACCGCUCCUUGGGACGACUCCAAGAGCGAAUUGUCCAGCUCCACGAGGAAAAUUCCAAGCAGCAAAAACUUAACAAAGAAUGCCGGGAGAGGCGUAAGCAGCUCAUCCGAGAAAAGAGAGAGAUGGCCAAAACAAUACAGAAAAUGGAAGAAACAGUCAGUCAACUAAUGAUUAGCAAGUUUGGCCGCGUGAUCAAUCUAGAAGCCCUUCAGACACUUUCUGUGAAUACAACGCUUGAAGAACUAAAGAUCAAAAAGCUUCGAAAGGAGCUAUCGAACGUAAAGGAAAUGAAAAUGUGGGAGGGCAAUGCCUUCCAGGGCCCUCGGAAAGCAGAUAUUGAGGCAAGAGAAAGGGUCACUGAACUGAUACAAGUCCAAGCCGAAAGGAUUCAGGCCUUAAAGGAAGAGAUUGCUCUUUUGCGUAAGAAAGGUGGUCUCCUCCUGCCCCCGAUUCAUCACCCACAAGAGAAUAUGAAGUCCCAGGGCCUGUAA
rnacentral:lncRNA from 1 species